GACUUCGUGGCGCAACGGCAGCGCGUUCGACUUCUGAUCGAAAGGUUAGGGGUUCGAAUCCCUUCGAGGUUA
rfam:Emiliania huxleyi CCMP1516 EMIHTscaffold_4870_Cont12931, whole genome shotgun sequence.